AGACAGAUGGAUUCACCCUCGUGCAAAA
rnacentral:sRNA from 1 species